rnacentral:lncRNA from 1 species
CUUGGGAGCCCUGCCAGCCCACAGGCCCAUCUGCGGCAGGCACGUGGUGCCGCGAGAACUUGGCUCAGGGACGGUUUUUCCGCCAUGCGCAGAUUCUCGCCUCUCGCGGGGGCGCCAGGGGGCAGCUGGUUGAGGUGCGCAUGCGCACUGGCACCUAACGGCUCUUCUUCGAGUCUUCUCAGAGGUUGGAGAUUCCCUGUCUUCUCCAACCUCUGCCAAGUCUUCAGAGAGGUUGGAGUGCGCCUGUCGGAGGUACUAGACCCCAGAUGAGGAUCUCAGGAAGAUCCACAAAGCUGCGUCCAGGGGAACGAACGUGUGGAAGCUGCAGCGGAGCCUCCUGCUCAAGAGUAAAGGACCGGUCUGAAACCUACAAGAACAGAAGAGCCAUGUGACGGGAUCCGUGGUUUGGCAGAGGAGACAUGCGAGAAGACGGAACGUUUUGUCCGAAUAGACAUCUGGCAGGGUGGAACGGAGAGAACAGGUAUGGUGGAGAGAACGUCUGAGAAGGUCGCAGGAUUCGCAGGAGCAUCGGGAAAAGAUUGCCUGCUUGCCCGAAGGAAUGGCAAGUUCCAAAGCUGUGCUGUGGGCAGUGUUUAGUUCAUGUCUGCUUUGCUGGCGGGCCGAGUAGCAACAGCUGCAGUUGGUGUGUUCUCUGAAGGCAGUAUCCGAAGGCUGGAGGGGUUGCUUUUCUUCCCAGGUGUCUUUUGAAGAGGCAGUCAAGUCAGCAGCUCGCGGUGAACUUCUGGUAACAUCGUAUGGGCUGGGUUACAGCACAUGCCGACUGCUAAGCCGGUCACUGGGGAAAACCAUGUGAUUGCUGUGAUGAGCUUAGAAUGAUCAUUCCUCCUUCGGGAGCUGGGGUGGGUUGAGGGAGUGAUAAAGAUCACGAUAACCUUGCAUUUCUCCAGCGAGAAAGAAGAAAGAAAUUCCGUGGAUAGGGAGCCAGCCAGGUUUCCUGCAGAAAAUCAUGGGAAGCUUUUGAGCAGGGGAGUCAGAAGAUGAGCGGUGAGUAUUAGGGCUUUCCGGUCACGGUGUGACACAGGGAUUGGCCAGCUCUUCCUGUAAAGGGCCAGGUGGGAAGCACUCGUAGGCCCCGUGGUCUCUGUCGUGUCUGCUGAAGCCUGCCGUAGUAGCGUGGAAGCAGUCAGAGAUGACGUGUAAGCAAAUGGUCCCGACUGACCUCCGGUAAAGCAUUGAUUCCGGAAGCAUUUAACAGACCUAACAACCUUUCAAACCGCAUGGCGUUUCUUUCCCGGAUCCCGUUUCAGGAACGUUUCUGUUGGCUACAAGGACCGUCUCCAACAUGCUUAGGCUCUGUGAACUUUCCCAGGAUCCUGAGUAGGGUAUCCGCCAUUCGUCCUUAGGGCUCCGGGAUGUCUCGUUCUUACUGUGUCCCUGCCAACCCUGGUCCCAUCUCGUCAUGAUCACCCACUGCAGAAGAGAGGAGGUGCUAGAGUGAACAGGGUCAGGGGAGCCCCGUUCAUCCCCAGGGUCCCAGAAUGAACCAGUGUUACCAUGUACCCCUGCCCUUGCCUUCCUCCCUGCUCUAAUGGCCGUGUGUUAGCCGGAGAUCAGUUUGGGUCUGGGUGCUAUGGGUCUGUUGCGCCUGUGGCCUUGGUCCGGCCUCUGUCCUUGUCUCUGUGAAAUGAGAGUGACUGUGCCUGAGAGCGUUCCAGCAAGACAAUGAUGAUCUCCACUGUCUGAUUCCCGCUUCCCAGGUUCUCACAAUAGAUGAGGAUCCUGUUUUUCAGCCAGCUGCCGCAGAGGGGCUGGACAUUUCUCCCUUCAGACAGGACCAGGAAGGCCCGGAAGCAUCUGAGGAAGGGUGUCGCCAUGAGUAGAGAAAUCGAGGCUAUGGGCGGAAGUGGGAAGAAGCGAGAGAGGAAGACUCAUGGAAAGCCUUGCUGCGCUUGCCAAAAGAACUGCCCUCGGACUCAAGAGGGCCACGUUCAAUGCCAACCUGACAUAAGAAGAGCCAUGUGACCAGAUCCCUGGUUUGGCAGAGGAGACAUGCGAGAAGACGGAACGUUUUGGCCGAGGAGACAUCUGGCAGGGUGGAACGGAGGGAACAGGUGUGGCAGAGAGAAUAUCUGAGAAGCUCGCAGGAUUCCCAGAAGGAGCACUGGGAGUAGAUUGCCUGUUUUCCCGAAGGAACGGCAAGUUCCAAAGCUGUGCUGUGGGCAGUGUUUACUUCAUGUCUGCUUUGCUGGCGGGCCAAGUAGCAACAGCUGCAGUCGGCGUGUUCUCUGAAGGCAGCGUGUGAAGGGUGGAGGGGUUGCUCUUCUUCCCAGGUGUCUUUUGAAGAGGCAGUCAAGUCAGCAGCUCACAGUGGCCUUCUGGUAACAUCGUAUGGGCUGGGUUACAGCACAUGCCGACUGCUAAGCCAGUCACUGGGGAAAACCAUGUGAUUGCUGUGAUGAGCUUAGAAUGAUCAUUCCUCCUUCAGGAGCUGGGGUGGGUUGAGGGAACGAUAAAGAUCCUGAUAACCUUGCAUUUCUCCAGCGAGAAAGAAGAAAUUCCGUGGAUAGGGAGCCAGCCAGGUUUCCUGCAGAGAUUCACGGGAAGCUUUUGAGCAGGGGAGUCAGAAGAUGAGCGAUUCUCACAGUAGACGAGGAGCCUGUUUUUCAGCUAGCUGCUGCAAGGAGCUGGACAUUUCUCCCUUCAAAUAGGACCUGGAAGGCCUGGAAGCAUCUGGAGAAGGGCAUGGCUGUGAGUAGAGAAACAGAGGAUACAGGCUAAAGCAGGAGGAAGCGAGAGGACUCACGGAAAGCCUUGCUGCACUCUCCAAAAGAGCUGCCCUUUUCACGUGAAGAGCUAUGUGAUCGGAUCCCCGGUUUGGCAGAGUAGACAUGCGAGAAGACUGAACGUUUCAUCGUUGAAACCUCUUAAAGGUGGAAUGUGUGGCAGAAAGAACGUCUGAGAAGCUCACGCGAUUUGCAGAAGGAACAUUUGUAGAAGAUUCCCUGUUUUCCGAAGGAAUGUCAAGUUCCAAAGCCAUGCCGUGGGCAGUUUUUAGUUCAUGUGUGCUUUUCCGGUGGACUGAGUAGCAACAGCUGCAGUUGGCGUGUUGUCUGAAGGCAGUAUCUGAAGUGUGGAUGGGUUGGUCUUCUUCCCAGGUGUCUUUUCAACAGGCAGUCAAGUCUGCAGCUCAUAGUGACCUUCCGGAAACAUCAUAUGAAGAACGUCCGAGAAGAUUCAGUGUUUGGCAGAAGAAACCUCUGUCAGACGUGAACGUGUGACAGAAGGGCCAUCCAGGAAGAUUGCACACUGGGCAGAAAGAAGACUUAAGAACAUUGCAUGGACAGCAGAAGGAGUGCUUCGGGAGAUUGCCUGGUGGGCGCCAGGAACACCUGAGAUGAUGUCAUGGCAAACAGUGGAAAUGAGAGGUUUACAUUUAAUGUCUUGUUUACAUAAGGUAGUAAACUCUGGAGCACUUGUGGUUAGGGGUGAAAACUCACCCUGGGUGAAGGAAGAAUCUUCCCUCUUCCCAGAGGGGCAAUGACUGGAAACGAGCAAGUAGGUGGGGUCUUUAAAGGGCCACAGUACUAGGCUCUAUCCUGACAGCUGUUCAGACUGCCCCAAAAGGCUUGUGAGAAGUUGUUGCUAGGGCAUAACAGGACAGUUAGAUUAAGAGUAGGAGUGAUAGCUUCUUCAACACUUUGGAGCAGGAAGGAAUGGAAGCAAGAUACAGUUGGAAGAGGGUGUAGUGGGUGACUUGAUGAAUCGAGUUCAUGGUAUUAUUUUUGACUUGGAUUCUCCUUCAUUGGCAUGCUUCUGAGUUGGCGUCAUUGCCUCUGCCCUGAUCCUUCCCUUGAGUGGGGCUGUUCACCAGUGCAGCGGCCAGUGAGCUCUUUGGGCGGGGUGUGUGGCAUACACAGUGCGAUGUCUGGAAUCUUACACGUGCUUACUUGAGGCAUUCUUACUCCACCGGUCGAGUGUUCUCAAAGAAAGAUGAUGGAGCUGCUAAACCUUGCCCAUUUUGAUCUGUUAUGUGAGACUUGCCUUUCGCCUUCUGUCAUGAUUGUGAAGUGUCCCCAGCCAUGUGGAACUGACACAUAUUGCUUGUCUCUGAACUUCUCAGCUGCCUGCAGAUCUUCCUGUUUUUCAGCUGCAGUUAGGGUUUGUCUGAGGAGAAGCAUAACAUCCCUCCAGGCUUACCCUGGUUGCUCAGUGAAGAAUAAAGUACAGGGAACAUGAGAGAAUACAUGGGAGAUCAAUCAAGAUGCUACUUCAGUAAUCCAUGACAAUGACAACGUAAAGUAAUGCAAGGUGCACGUGAUGGGUAUGGCCAAAUGCUCCACAAAUAAAUGUGUUGAAUGAAUGAACAAAUGAAUAAGCGAAGUGAAUGGAACAUCAAACUGCAUAAAAAUAUAUUUAUUCAUAAAUGAGAGGUGAUGAUUGCCAACAUAUCAUAAUCAGACUCUGACCUUGGUUACUUAUGAGUUUGACAACGAAGAGGAAAGAGGAUCAGAAUGGAUCUACAUUUGUCCUGUGUCAAUGGCUAUCCAGAAGCGGUAACUUUGCUGGUGCACAGAAAGUGCCAGCUUAACGUGUGUGACGGUGAAAACACGACACCUCUGAUGAAGAUAUAUAGUAGCCAGUUAUUUCAGCAUGAGAUGGAUUUGGUUUAAAUACAUAGAAUAAAAAUGGAUUUAUUUCAUUGAAAUGUAACUAAUUUGUGAACCUAUGGAAUAUUUAUUUGUAUUUUCUAGAAUUUACAAUGUGUUUCUUGGUCUAAUACUGACAGGCUAUACAAUGCCAAGAAGAUGUUUAUGCAACUAUUCUGCUGGACUUUGGUGCCUAUCCAGAUAUUACAGAUAUCAACAGAAAAACUGCUCUCCACUGUGCUGUCUAUAGUGAGAAUAUGUCAGUGGUGGCAAAACUGCUUUCACACAACACAAACAUCUAAGUGAAAAAUGGAGUAGAGAAUAACCAACAUUAUUUUCAAAAUAUUUGAAAUCCAUUUGCUUUAACACUGACAUGCGUUAGGGUCAGUUUUUCAUAUUUGGAAGCUCAAGCAUGCUCUUCUGUGAAUGAAAAUAUUCUGAAGUAACUGUCUAAUAAUUUAAAUAUUAAUGUUUUUAAAGAAGUAUUAGACGGUAUAGCUUUCUUUCAUGCAUUUAUGAUAAAUAUUUAAAUUUAUUAAAGGUAAAAGUUUGUUUUUCAAAUAUUUUAGCCACUCAAGUUUUUGUUCUUUCUAAUUAGUGUAAAACAACACAGAAAAGCAAAAUGUGCCUGCAUAAACUGAGUCAACAUGUAAACCUUUUGAUAUUUAUUAUUAAAUAAGUUAUUUGGCAAUGUAUCAAAUUUUUAAAUGUGUGUCCCUUUUGACCUAGAAAUUCUACUCCCAGGAAUUUCUCCUAAGAAGAUAAUCAGAAAAGUUUACAAAGAUGAAUAGAAAAGAAGAGUCACUGCAGCCUUAUUUGUAAAAGUGAAAAAUAGCAACAGCCCAAAUGUCAUGAAUGGAGAAUUAAUAUAUGGUGCAUCCAUACAAAAAUACUGUGCAGCGAGUAAGCCAAUGAAGCCCAAAAUUUCUGACAUGGACAUUGACAUAGCAGAGUGACAAUAACGAGGUUAUAAAACAUCAUCAGUGAAAGUUCCAAGUGUGAAAGCAAGGAUAAAUCAAGAUGCCUCUUGGCAUGAAACUUUACUGGACAACCUUGAAGUCAUGCCAGUACCCAGUCUGCUGAGACCAAUGCUCAAUAGACAUUUCAGCACAGGAAGCCUCUUAAAUCCCUUCAAAGGAAAAUGGGUGUCAUGAAAAUGUCAAGCCUGGCCUUCUCACUACUUACUCAAAAAGUACUUCCUAAGCGCCUACUUUGAGUCACAUCUGGGUCACAGGAAAGUGUGGUGGAAAGUCUGCACAUGGCCCAGAAAGCUCCUUCAGCUCCAACAUUCAGAACCUGCCUGCCUGCCUUCUGAGUAUCCCAAGGGCACUGUCUGACUCUUUCAUACCCACCAUUUGUCUCCCUGGACUUCUUGCUAAAUCCCUGUCUUCACUUCCUCACUUAGGGAAUUCAUGCCAGCUCUCUGACUUGAUCUAUGACCCUGCUCAUCACUGUAGGAGAAAAAAAAAAAAAUACAACCACCUUUCCAUGCUGUCAACUUAAUUAUCCCUCCCACAUUUAUCUCAUGCCUGAAAUGUAUUACCUAAAUGUUGAGUGUGCAGUUCAGGGUAAAACUGACCAACUGGAGCACAUCCAAAGAAGAGCAACCAUGGUAAAAAGAAGCUACAUCAUCAUGUCUGCUAAGGAAGGCUUGAAAUAACUAUGAAUUUUUAUUCUGGAGAAAACGAGACUAAACAAAACCAAUAAAAAUUACUCAAAAAAUAUGAAGCGUUGUUAUGAAGACAAAGGAAGAGGCACUUUCUAAAGAGACUCAAUGUAAACACUGGAAAACAUGGCAGCAUUUUCUUUAAACAGCAUUCAAUGAUGAAAUGGCUACUUGUGGUUCCAGAGGGCUCCCUGUCAUUGCGGGGUGGAGGACUAGAGUGUUUAAGAAGAGGCAAGAAGUGUAAUUUUUUUGUUCUUUAGUGUGGAGCACAGUGUGGGACACAAAGUAGGUUCUCAACAAUUUGAAAGAAUGAGUGGGUGAAAAUAUAAAUGCUCAGAAGAUAUAAAAACUCAGAAGACACUUUGAGAGGGAUAUUGUUUAAUCACUUUAUGCAUCUGAGAGGGAGCAUGACUAGAGGAUUUCUGAGGUCCCUGGGACUGGAAUUAUAUAACUCCAAGGCACUGCAACACCUCAAAGGCAAGACACAGUUCAGACAGAUCAUUUCUCUUAAUAAUCAGGCAUGGGACUAUUGCCCAGGAAUUUUAAAGACAUCUUAAACCUAGUUAUUACAUAUCACAAAACCUCUUGGAAUAAAUGAGUUUCUCACACUAAUAGGU